GACGUAGGGUCCAAGCGUUGUCCGGAUUUACUGGGCGUAAAGAGCGCGUAGGCGGUCUGUUAAGUGUAGAGUGAAAGCUCCGGGCUCAACCCGGAAAUUGCUCUGCAUACUGGCAGACUUGAGGAUGGAAGAGGUUUGUGGAAUUCCUGGUGUAGCGGUGAAAUGCGUAGAUAUCAGGAGGAACACCCAUGGCGAAGGCGGUUCUCUGGGACGGUACUGACGCUGAGACGCGAAAGCGUGGGGAGCGAACAGG
rnacentral:rRNA from 1 species